AUUAAGCGAAAUGUCGCUUAAACCAAAUAACUUUUCACACCUUGAUAUAUAUAGGUGAAUAAAUCAAAAUCAUGAAGACAUUUUUCUUUUCAAAUUCGAUUAGGAGAUCUGCCAAUGUUCAGAACAUUACCGAUACCAACUAAUUUAUAAAUAAAAAUAAAUCUUUAAACCAACAAGUUUAUACAUACAUAUAUAAUACUAAUACAAUAAUAAAACUAAUAAUAUAGGAAGUAAUACAUCACACUAUGCAAUCUUUGGAUACAUUAUCUUACGCGAUGCUCUUGUUACGUAUUUUUCAUAACACGUAUAUCGCCUCGCUAAUUACAAAAUUACUUUUAUCGUAAUAUAAAUGAGGUUUUCUACUGAAAAUUACGUAAUAAGAACACCAAUCAGCCAGGAGCCAAUAAUUUGACUUCAAAACAAAAACUGUUCAAGUCAAACGAUUGACGGCUGCUGCACACCGAAACCAGUCUCAAAAAUUCAAUCGAACCGUGUCAUACACGAAUAGAGAAAUUUAAAAAUCAUUAUAAAAUGUCCAAAUCAUAUUUUAUCCUCAUCACAUGAGCCUUCUCAGUCCCACUGUUCCCCACGCAACACGAUAUCAAUUUACCGAUCCAUCUCCCGCAUAUUGGGUGCCAAUAAUAUUUAAAUGGGUACCCCAGAUCGGCGAAGCUCGCGUCAAUCCAAAAAAAAAAAAAA